AUUGAACGCUGGCGGCAGGCCUAACACAUGCAAGUCGAACGGUAGCACAGAGAGCUUGCUCUCGGGUGACGAGUGGCGGACGGGUGAGUAAUGUCUGGGAAACUGCCCGAUGGAGGGGGAUAACUACUGGAAACGGUAGCUAAUACCGCAUAACGUCGCAAGACCAAAGUGGGGGACCUUCGGGCCUCACACCAUCGGAUGUGCCCAGAUGGGAUUAGCUAGUAGGUGGGGUAACGGCUCACCUAGGCGACGCUCCCUAGCUGGUCUGAGAGGAUGACCAGCCACACUGGAACUGAGACACGGUCCAGACUCCUACGGGAGGCAGCAGUGGGGAAUAUUGCACAAUGGGCGCAAGCCUGAUGCAGCCAUGCCGCGUGUAUGAAGAAGGCCUUCGGGUUGUAAAGUACUUUCAGCGAGGAGGAAGGCGUUGUGGUUAAUAACCGCAGCGAUUGACGUUACUCGCAGAAGAAGCACCGGCUAACUCCGUGCCAGCCGCCGCCGUAA
rnacentral:rRNA from 1 species